UCUGAGUUUAAUCAAUAAAUAUCGACUCGAUAAGUUCUUAUCUGCGCAUGCAGCUACUGUACUCGUAAACAAUAAAACAGAUGUUUUUAUCCUUAUUGUUUUCAACACUUUAAAUAACCAAGUUUAUAAAGUUAUGUGAUUGACACCUUGUAAUUGGUCAUCCACAACUCAUAACUGCAGCAAGAUGGCAGAUAAUCGGCAUGAGAGAAGCAGG
rnacentral:lncRNA from 1 species